rnacentral:rRNA from 1 species
GACGAACGCUGGCGGCGUGCCUAAUACAUGCAAGUCGAACGAGAGCGACCGGUGCUUGCACUGGUCAAUCUAGUGGCGAACGGGUGAGUAACACGUGGGUAACCUGCCCAUCAGAGGGGGAUAACAUCCGGAAACGGAUGCUAAAACCGCAUAGGUCUUCGAACCGCAUGGUUUGAAGAGGAAAAGAGGCGCAAGCUUCUGCUGAUAGAUGGACCCGCGGUGCAUUAGCUAGUUGGUGAGGUAACGGCUCACCAAGGCCGUGAUGCAUAGCCGACCUGAGAGGGUGAUCGGCCACAUUGGGACUGAGACACGGCCCAAACUCCUACGGGAGGCAGCAGUAGGGAAUCUUCCGCAAUGGACGCAAGUCUGACGGAGCAACGCCGCGUGAGUGAAGAAGGUUUUCGGAUCGUAAAACUCUGUUGUUAGAGAAGAACAAGUGCUAGAGUAACUGUUAGCGCCUUGACGGUAUCUAACCAGAAAGCCACGGCUAACUACGUG